rnacentral:rRNA from 1 species
GACGAACGCUGGCGGCGUGCUUAACACAUGCAAGUCGAACGGAAAGGCCCUGCUUUUGUGGGGUGCUCGAGUGGCGAACGGGUGAGUAACACGAGAGUAACCUGCCCUUGACUUUGGGAUAACUUCAGGAAACUGGGGCUAAUACCGGAUAGGAGCUCCUGCUGCAUGGUGGGGGUUGGAAAGUUUCGGCGGUUGGGGAUGGACUCGCGGCUUAUCAGCUUGUUGGUGGGGUAGUGGCUUACCAAGGCUUUGACGGGUAGCCGGCCUGAGAGGGUGACCGGCCACAUUGGGACUGAGAUACGGCCCAGACUCCUACGGGAGGCAGCAGUGGGGAAUAUUGCACAAUGGGCGGAAGCCUGAUGCAGCAACGCCGCGUGCGGGAUGACGGCCUUCGGGUUGUAAACCGCUUACGCCUGUGACGAAGCGUGAGUGACGGUAAUGGGUAAAGAAGCACCGGCUAACUACGUG